rnacentral:rRNA from 1 species
UGCGUAGGCGGUCCUGUGUGUCGGUGGUGAAAGCCCCCGGCUCAACCGGGGAAUUGCUUCCGAAACUGCAGGACUCGAGUGCAGGAGGGGAGAGUGGAACUCUUGGUGGAGCGGUGAAAUGCGUUGAUAUCAAGAGGAACGCCGGCGGCGAAAGCGACUCUCUGGACUGCAUCUGACGCUGAGGCACGAAAGCCAGGGGAGCAAACG